AUUGAACGCUGGCGGCAUGCUUUACACAUGCAAGUCGAACGGCAGCGCGGGCUUCGGCCUGGCGGCGAGUGGCGAACGGGUGAGUAAUGCAUCGGAACGUGCCCAGUAGUGGGGGAUAGCCCGGCGAAAGCCGGAUUAAUACCGCAUACGACCUGAGGGUGAAAGCGGGGGACCGAAAGGCCUCGCGCUAUUGGAGCGGCCGAUGUCGGAUUAGCUAGUUGGUGGGGUAAAGGCUUACCAAGGCGACGAUCCGUAGCUGGUCUGAGAGGACGACCAGCCACACUGGAACUGAGACACGGCCCAGACUCCUACGGGAGGCAGCAGUGGGGAAUUUUGGACAAUGGGGGCAACCCUGAUCCAGCCAUGCCGCGUGCGUGAAGAAGGCCUUCGGGUUGUAAACCGCUUUUGUUCGGGAAGAAAUCCUCUGAGCUAAUACCCCGGGGGUAUGACGGUACCGGAAGAAUAAGCACCGGCUAACUACGUG
rnacentral:rRNA from 1 species